rnacentral:lncRNA from 1 species
GAUUUGUUGUAGCUUAUAUAUAGCUCAAUGACAAGAAUAGUUGGAACUUUCAAUAGUUUGAUCCAUCUUCAGAGAAGACAACCAGGUGGCAGAUUUUGUGGCUUCAGCAGCAAUUUAAGCAAAUGUUUGACGGAAGCAUGGAGAUACACUUCCACCUAAGCAGCUUACUUGUCUAUUAAUGGCAGAUGCUUCGGGGUCU